CGGAUCCGCGGGGCGCACAGAGCGCCACCUCUCGCCUGGGCGCGACUUGGAGGUGCGGGGGCAGCACCAGGGGAGCCGAGGCCAGUGCGCGGCUGGACCGCUCGCCUCCACGAAGGGUGGGUGCGCCCCGACCCGGAGGACUCCCGCCUCGACCAGGUGGAACCUUAAAUAGCUUCCGAGAGGGACCCUUGGAAGUUUCUGGAAAGCAGGCCUCUGGCUGGAGCCGGUGGGAGCCGUCUGCUGCCCACACAUCUGAGAGUGACCGCACCACCCAGCUGAGACCCUGAGGGAACUGGCAGCCGCUGUUUCGAGAACUGGAAAUGGAGACUGGAGGAUUGACUGGACCAAGAGGUCACCAGCUUGGGGAGAACCACUCCUGCACGGCCCCUUCUCCCGGACCUGGGUUCCUCCUCAGCACCCCCUAUUCAGACUCCAGCGCCUGGAGCAGGGGCUGCGUGGGGAGGUGGUGGUGGGAUGCUCGGCUGAGGGGGCAUCUGCCGCCCGAUGGCCGGCCCAGGAGGGGCGUUCUCCACAGGUAAGGCGUGGUCGGUGCUGCUUUCCCCGGGAAUGGAGUCGAAGAGGUUCGCACGGAUCCCUGCAAACAUUUGAUAAAGAGGCUAAAUACACUUGAGCAGGAAGAAGCAAAGGCCUGGUUCCGGGUUCCGUGGGUGGGGACCCAGGAAAACCCAGGCCAAAGGUGUGUGUCGGAGGCCAGCGGGAGAGACCUGGUGGAAGAAGGGGGCAGGGGUCCCCAGGCUGGGGAGCUGCUGGUGGGAGGGAGGGUGCCCCUAGGCAGGGGAUGCCAGUCGCCUCCGGAGCUCUCUGCCGCCCCGGCCUUGCCCGAGGCCCAUCAUUAAGGUGAGUCAGGUGUUCCAAGUAGGUGGGGAGAGGCCACCGCACAGCUGAGGUGACUGGCUGGGCACCCGCCCCUGGAGGCCCCUCCUGGCACUCGGGAGGGUCAGGAAGGCCUGGUCCACCUCAGAGCCAGGCAGGGCUAGAGGCGGGCAAGGUGCCUUUAUGAAGGGCUGUCAGCGCCCUAGCUGGUGUGGCUCAGUGGGUAGAGCGUCGGCCUACGGACCAAAGGGUCCUGGGUUCGAUUCCAGUCAAGGGCAUGUACCUCGGUUGCAGGCUCUUCCCUGGUCAGGGCGAGUGCAGGAGGCAACCCAUCGAUGUGUUUCUCUCAGAUGGCUGUGUCUCUUCUUUCCUUCUCUGAAGGAUCGAUGGAAAAAUAACCUCAGGUGAGCACUAGCAGAGAGCCCAGCACGCUGGGUGCUCAGCCCACGGCACCCUAAAACCCCCGUGCAGAGGUCCCAGAGCUGAUGGGGGCCCUGCUGGCUCCAGCUCCCGUGGUCCCGCUGCUCGGCACAGGCUGGUGAGGCGCCACGGUCACUGGGUGGCAUCUGUCUGCAGCUCGACAGGACUGUGAAGGGUGCUGUCGGGAGAGUCGCCUGCAAUCCUGGGGCCCAGGCCCACCUGAUCCCUGGUCCAGAGGUGCCAGGAGAUGGGGGGCACACCCAGGCCCGGCGGCCCCAAGUCUCGGUUCUCUCAUCUGGACAAUGGAGGCCCGUCACCCUGCACGCACAGCUGCCUCCGCAGUGCACAUGCCCCUGGGCACACAGGCAGAGCCCUGGCACCCAGCUGUGCAGAAAUGAAGUUUACAAUACCCCAGAAUGCCUGAUGGGCGUGGCUCAGUGGUUGACCAUCAACCUAUGUGUGAACCAGGAGGUCACAGUUCGAUUCUAAUCAGCGCUCAUGCCCGGGUUGUGGGCUGGAUCCCCAGUGGGGGGUGUGCCAGAGGCAGCCGAUCCAUGAUUCUCUCUCAUCCUUGAUGUUUCUCUCUCUCUCCCUCUCCCUUUCUGAAAUCAAUAAAAAAAUAUAUUUUUAAAACCCAGAAUUGAUAACUACUUUGUGAAUGAAGAGCCAUGUCACGGGCACUGGGUGGCUUCACAAAGCGAAGGCGAGGCCUGGACAGUGGGCACUGGAAACCGGCUGCCCCAGACGGGUGCGCUCUGCGGGCAAAGCCCACAGCCUCCGCAGGCCUCAUAGGAAAGUGAAGAGCAUAACAUGUCUCGGUAAUUUUUAUAUGAACCACAUGUUAGGAUGAUACCAUUGAGUUAAAUAAAUUAUAUGAUUGCAAUUAAUUUCCCGUUUGGUUCUCCUUUGUUUCGUGUGGCUACUAGGAAGUUUAAAAUGCCGUGCUGCUCAGAGGCUU